GGCCGCGUGGCGAAAUGGUUACCGCGUUGCUUUCCGAAGGCAGAGAUUGUGGGUUCGAUCCCCGCCGUGGUCU
rnacentral:tRNA from 1 species